rnacentral:rRNA from 1 species
UACAGGGGUGCAAACGUUGCUCGGAAUCAUUGGGCGUAAAGCGCACGUAGGCGGUUCGUUAUGUCGGAUGUGAAAGCCCUUGGCUUAACCGAGGAAGUGCAUCCGAAACUGGCGAGCUAGAGUACGAAAGAGGAUCGCGGAAUUCCCGGUGUAGAGGUGAAAUUCGUAGAUAUCGGGAGGAACACCGGUGGCGAAGGCGGCGAUCUGGGUCGAUACUGACGCUGAGGUGCGAAAGCGUGGGGAGCAACAGG